GACGAACGCUGGCGGCGUGCUUAACACAUGCAAGUCGAACGAUGACGCCCGAGCUUGCUCGGUCUGAUUAGUGGCGAACGGGUGAGUAACACGUGAGCAACCUGCCCUUCACUCUGGGAUAACCUCGGGAAAUUGGGGCUAAUACCGGAUAUGAGCUCCUGUCGCAUGGCGGGUGUUGGAAAGUUUUUCGGUGUAGGAUGGGCUCGCGGCCUAUCAGUUUGUUGGUGGGGUAGUGGCUCACCAAGGCGAUGACGGGUAGCCGGCCUGAGAGGGCGACCGGCCACACUGGGACUGAGACACGGCCCAGACUCCUACGGGAGGCAGCAGUGGGGAAUAUUGCACAAUGGGCGAAAGCCUGAUGCAGCGACGCCGCGUGAGGGAUGACGGCCUUCGGGUUGUAAACCUCUUUCAGCAGGGAAGAAGCGAAAGUGACGGUACCUGCAGAAGAAGCGCCGGCUAACUACGUG
rnacentral:rRNA from 1 species